rnacentral:lncRNA from 10 species
AAAGCCUGCGAGCGCCAGCCGAGAUCGCAGCCCAACCCAUGGCCGGGUCUCCUAGCCGCGCCGCGGGCCGGCGACUGCAGCUUCCCCUGCUGUGCCUCUUCCUCCAGGGCGCCACUGCCGUCCUCUUUGCUGUCUUUGUCCGCUACAACCACAAAACCGACGCUGCCCUCUGGCACCGGAGCAACCACAGUAACGCGGACAAUGAAUUUUACUUUCGCUACCCAAAAGAGUCUCACUCUGUUGCCCAGGCUGGAGUGCAACGGCGCAAUCUCGGCUCACUGCAACCUUCACCUCCCAGGUUCAAGCGAUUCACCCGCCUCAGCCUCCCGAGAAGCUGGGAUUACAGGCACCCACCAAAACACCUAGAUAAGUUUUGUAUUUUUAGUAGAGAUGAGGUUUCGCCAUGUUGGCCAGGCUGGUCUUGAAUUCCUGACCUCAGGUGAUCCACCCACCUCGGCCUCCCAAUGUGCUGGGAUUACAGGUGUGAGCCACUGCACCUGGCCCUAUUACCCUACUUUCUGUAUGCAGAGCUCAUCAGCAGGCUAUCCCCACCUCACCCUGUUCUAGACCCAACAAAAUGAAGCUCAAAAUGCUAAGGAUAUAGAGAGUGAGGUGGAAACUUGGACUUGGGUGUGAAGCACCAGAGCCCCCACCCACCCUAGGCAGAAGGGGCUACAGCUCCUCCCUCCCCAUAUUUCAUCCACAGCCCUGGCUAGAAAAGAAGGAUAGAGAGUUGGGAGGGAACAGUCCAGAGUCUGACAGAACUAAGCUGUUGCGUAAGGGUCUGACCUGGCUGCUUGCCAUGAACCCCUGACUUGCUUCUCCUCGAAGCCUCCUUAUUACAAAGCUUUCCCUGGAGUCCAGCCUCUUGCCCCUGUGCUGCAAUGGUAGGCUCUCCUUGGACAUACAGCAUUUCAUCCCUG